GGGGAUAUAGCUCAGUUGGUAGAGUGCUUGCCUUGCAUGCACAAAGCCCUGGGUUCAAUCCCCAGCACCA
rnacentral:tRNA from 1 species